UACGUAGGGGGCAAGCGUUGUCCGGAAUCAUUGGGCGUAAAGAGCUCGUAGGCGGUCUGUCGCGUCGGAUGUGAAAAUCCAGGGCUCAACCCUGGACCUGCAUUCGAUACGGGCAGACUAGAGUUCGGUAGGGGAGACUGGAAUUCCUGGUGUAGCGGUGAAAUGCGCAGAUAUCAGGAGGAACACCGGUGGCGAAGGCGGGUCUCUGGGCCGAAACUGACGCUGAGGAGCGAAAGCGUGGGGAGCGAACAGG
rnacentral:rRNA from 1 species